CCGGAUGAUGGUCCUCAACGACC
rnacentral:miRNA from 2 species